GUAGCAACAAUGAUUUUCAGAUUUCAGGAUGUGUCCAGUUAUUCCUUCUUACUAGGAGAAGAAAUUGCCUUUGGGAUCAGAGUAGCGCAUACAGGGACAAGGAGCUGAAGAACUGCUGUGGAGUGAUAUUUUUCUUGAAGUCACUUGUUCACUUUCUGGCAGUCUGCAGUGCAGAAGCAUUUUG